GGUUGUGAGACUUACUCUAAAUAUUUGCCAGAAAGUUUGCUUGGGGAUGGUGAAUACUGUGACACAGGAUAGCUAAAAAUAGAGUUCUUGCUGGUAAUUUUUUGGUGUUUGGUUUCACGGUGUGAGAUGUGAUUUUCAGAUGGGUUGUACAUCUCUGUUCCCCCCUCCCUGUUCAAUCACAGCAUCUUUGAAAAUCAGGCCUUUUGUGCCUCCCAAAAUCAAGUUCUUAAAUAAAAUAGAAGACAGAGUAAUGGAAAAAAUAGAUCUCGAAGUCAUGCUAGUGAGGGUUUAUUAUGGGGGUUGUUAAGGCCCCAUGUGUUAUUUUAUGGUUCACCAAAGGGAGAUUGGAAAGGAAGUCUCACAGUUGUGUAGGAAUUAUGAAUUAGCUGCACAGGCUUUUCAAGUUGUUUAUGCCAAAGAGAGACAAAAACCUGAGGAGGAAGAAGUGGGCUACUGUGAACCACAAAUAACUUGAUCCUGCCCUUGAUGAAGUGAAUGCUGCCACUCUGUAUUGUCUGUGAGAGAAGGCUGGGAGCUCUUGCAAACCCUACCCUAAUUAACUGACUGCUGCCUUAAUGCCUCCCAGGAGCCUGGGGUGAUGCUCUGUUGUGUGCUGUGGGAGCCCACUUGGUCCUGAGGCUUUGCAAAUCAUGUUCAAGACCUCCUGAGAGACUUUGACUACAGGUAAAUGACUCUUGUCAACCAUCUUUCAUCUCCAACAAUUUGACUGAACAAAUGAUGCAAAACCAAGUGUACCUAAGGAGCACAGACUUGAGGUCCAGACUUAAAAGUCUUCCAAGAGGAAUAGAAAAGCUGGUGGGACCAAGGAAAGCCGGGAGCCCUACUGUGCUUGACUAACUAAGGUUCAGCCAAGGAAAUUUUUGGUAGAAUAUCAAAAAGGAGAGACAGAUUGUUUUCUUUUUUCUCAGGACUUCUUGCUGACUUCAUGACAACCCAUUCUUCCCUUCUUUAUAUUCUCAAUUCCCCAGGUGCUCCUUGUGGUAACCUUUCACUUUUUGUAUCCAGAGAGCAGGAUGUUUUCUGUGGUGUGUCAAUAACAAUUUGGUUUUCUCUGACAUCAAAUUGAAAAAUCCAGCUGACAAGUCCAAUACUGGCAAUUCAGCUGACAAGCUCAAUACCUGUGACUUAAAUAUGUGACAAAUGUGAGCUGACUUGAACAGUCAUUUCAAGUAACCUAUCAAGAUACUGAAGAUCUUGGGUCAAUUUGAAACUGAGAACAAAAGCCAUUAAUAUCUAUUAAUGCAGAACUAGCAUUAACAAAGUAGUAUGCCUUGACAUGGGUUGGAGAGAGGGAUAUGACUGAUUGCUUGGAAAUAGUUUGUGAUGUCUAGAGCAAGGUGAAUAUUGAAUACAUAGCCCUUUUUUGUAAGGUUGGAUUUUUUGUUUUGAUAUAUAUUAUAUCCUUCAUUUCUAGUAGCAUCACAUGUGAUUCACAGCCCCAGAGAAAGCCAUGCUCAGUUUUGCCUGCAGUCAGGUUUGAUGUUUGUACUUGAACCUAUCUUUGAAAUUCUCCAGUUAUAGAAAGGAUGGAGUUAGAGGUUGGUGUUACACAUACCCAUCUGCUGAACUGCAGCCCACUGAAAUGGGUGAAGACCUAUUUUUUAUUCUCUCAAGCAUUGUUUGCUUGGCAUGGGAUGGACUCCACUGACAGAUGAUUAAUAAACUCUGAUCAAGAGCACCGAAAAUCCUCUUGCCUUCUCUGGCUUUUGGACAACCCUGCAAUGAGCGAGGCAGCAGGAUCACAGAGUGGAGAUGGAGAUGUGCUGGUGGUGCUGUCACGGUGCUGCCCAGCUGCUGACCUGGACACAGAUGGGCUUGGACGGGUCACAGGCAGCUGUUGGAUAUGUGUCCACCCUGGGGAUGGGCUGGGAGCUCUGCUGGAGCAGGGUCGUGGCUGCAGGGAAUCAGCCAGAGAGCAAAGCCCAGCGCAGUGCAGCCUUUGGCUUUGGAGCUGAGCUCUGGAAUGAACCAGCUGGUGGGUUAAUGUGUUCCCUUAAUGAACACUCUACUCCUUUGCUGCCUGGGCUGACUCGAGUAGGACAAUAUUAAUGUUGAUAUUGAUAUUGAUGUGGCAGUUACUCCUCUUGUGUGACAUUCAAAAAGGGAAUAUAUAAUAUACAGAGGUCAAGGUAGGCCACUCCUGACAUUUCAAAAGGAAGAGGAAAUAAAGACAGAAUAGCUCUUGUCUUCUGUGAGUUCAAUGUUCCCAUGACCAUAUUUCUGACUUAAUUUUUUAUUACUGCAGGCAACUUGUAGGCACUGCUUUAUGUACUUAUACACACAUAUAUACAUACAAAUAUGCAUAUAUAUGCACAAACCCCACUAUAGCUCAGGACAUUUUCUUGGCUGACUUGCAGUUGUAUACUCACACACAUUGGUAUAUACUUUUUUUUUUGCAGAUACUUGAUUAAGGAGCAAUCACUAAUAAAUCCCUGAACCUGGCUCAAAUAUACUAAAGUGAUAAAUCUGUUUUCUCCAGAGAUAAGAAGUUUAAUUUUGGCUGAACAAUCCUCCACACAUUUUGCUUCCCAAUGAUCCAUUUGUAGCUUAACAAUUAAUUUUCACCUUUCUACUCUGUGAAGAUGUGGAAUUCAUUUCCUGCUGGAGAGGUUGCUGGAAUGAUAAUGCGCAGGUGGCUUGAGAUAUAGCAUAAAUAUAUUAUGCUUUGGUAUGUCUCAUUUUUUGUGUAAAUAUGGAGAUGCUCAGUGAGGAUGAAGCAGUUUGACACUGCAGCAGGGCGGUGCCUUGGCUGGCAGACACUGUGAGACUGUUCAAUAAUGCAAAUAAAGCCCUGACCACAGAAGCUGUUGCUUCAGAGAGGGUGCCCUCCCCACAGAAGGUGGAUGGUGCGAGGCUGUUCUCAUAAUUUUAUUUUGAUUGCAUCUACAGCUGCUUGCAAGCAGUGAAUUAAAUGCAAGGAAAAGGAUGCAGGACCUCAGCAUAUUAUGAGGGCUAUAAUAACAUUGUAUGCUUGCUGUCCUUGGACAAAUUUCCUGAUUUUUCCAUAGCAGCCCUCACCUACUAACCUCAGAGGAAUUAGGGAACAUCAAGGCAUUGCAAUUCAGUGCCCAGAUUGGUGUGGGUGCAUUUGAACAGCUGUUUGCUCACUGACUGGGAGACCUUUAUGGUGUUUUCACUGGAAACGUGGCCUCCCUCAGUUUCUGUUGGCUGUAUUUUGGGAGAGAAAUUCUUACUGUUCUAGGAAUUGAACCCAAGGAAAUCCUAGCUACAGCCAAAAGACUUUGAAGAACAAGAGUGUGUUUUUUGUCCUGAGAUCGUUGUUUCAGAGCGGCUGUGUCUGCUGUGGUGUCACGAAAACAUCACUGUUAUAUCUCAAGGUGGCAUCUGACUUGGUCAUGAUUUUCUAAAACAGGAACCUCAGAAAAGGUGUGAAGAAAAAUAAAGACAAGGAGAAACGUUUUUUUGUUCUACGCCCCCGGCACUUCACGACACGGUGUUUGGGCACGAUGAGAGGAGCUGGCCUGUGCCCUGGUGCUGGGGUGGGGCUGCUCAUUUACAGGCUGCAGGAUGUUACUUGGCCCUGAGGGAUGCUCAGGUCCCAUAGAGGCCCUGGCUUUGGGUGGUGGGAGCGGCUCCUGCUCUGGAUGCUGAUACUGGGCUCUUGGUGAGUUUGCUGUGUUAGGAUCAUGUGUGCAGGAAAUACUUUAUACCACCAUGACAUCUGGUUUUCUCACCUUUUUAGGUAGGUACAGCCAUAAACCAGGCACCUUGGGAGGAUUACUCUUGGCACAGGGAUUGGCAGUGCUGCCAAGGGACUUGCAGCUCAAAACAGUCCUCUAGUUUUGCCUUUCCUUUCCAAAUCACACUGUUUCACAUUCAGCUAUGCUCAACAAAAAUGGCUGAAACAAAUCUGCCACUGCUGCUCAAUUCACAACGAUUUGCAAAACAGAUCUGAGCCUGAACAGUUGUUACACAAAUUAGGACUCAAUGUGCAAAUGAAAGCUAGAAAACAAACAAAACACAGCACAUUGUUGUGCUUUGUGCCUCUCCACAAGACAGGUCUGAGGAGGGAUGUUUGCUCUUCUUUUCCUCAGGAAAGCAAGGUUGCCAGCUGCUUUCCCUGUUGACAAAACAGCCAGCCUGGGAGAGGCUGGCUUUGCCAUCAGAUAAACGGGAGCGCUUCCCAUUGCCAUCACGAGUGGCAAAGUGCAUC